AUUAUUACUGUGCGAUUCAGUUUAAUUUGAUUAAUUUUUAUCUUACUUAUUUAUUUUUGUUAUAACU
rnacentral:tRNA from 1 species